UUGGCAGAGAAAAACAGAGGGAGAGUGAACAAGUUGGAAAUAAUGGCGAGGAAAGGGUUCUGCUUGGCUCCUUUCCAACAUUCAACUUCACUGGACUACAGAGAGGAUGUGCCAAUACAGGCAAGGACACGGGAACAGCAAGGAUUCCCAUAAUGACUGGGCACCUGGUAAGUCCCUAACUGUUAAAGGAGUAUAUGGUUGGUGUUUGUCGCUGCUCCCACAUGUCAAGGGAGUCGAAGCUCCCAUUCUGUCUUGUUUUAAGGAAGUCACAUCUUGAAGUAUCCCAGUGAGACCACACAUGUGAAGGCAGGGUCUCAGGAAUGAUAGACCAGGGGUGGGUGAGGCUCUCAUCUCUACUGCCAUACUUCCUACUCAACAAUGGUAUAGUUUUCAUUAGGAAAACAAUUUCUAAAGAACAUUUUCAAUCUCUAAAGCCCAAUAGAAGUAUGGAGAAGAAAAUUGUAUCUCUCAUUUCUCAGAGAGAAAAGUAGGGCAUAAUAUUAUUAAAUGCAUCCCAGAAGUCUUGAGGUUCCAUUCUUCAGAAGUUAGCCACCAUGUGCUGAGGCACCUUUGAUUCCUGACUGCUCCCCACCCCUGCAAAAGCUGGGUUAGGUUUAACCUUCUUGGAGUCAUGAGGUAAACAGUGAUGUUGAGAUUAGAUAUUGGCUCAGAAUCAGCAUUUUGAGGGCAGACCCCGUAAAUCCUUCUUUAAUUCCUCCCUUCCUAGUCCCUUUCCACAACUGAGACUAAACACACUAUCCAGAGAGGGGAGUUGAGUGCUGUAGGAAGGUCUCAUUCAUCUUUGGAAGAACUCUGGGAAGUAUUUUCUUCUCUGAUAAGCCAUGAAACUACAUAAGACACUCCUCCUUCCUGCCUGGGGACAUGGAGCCAUCUAAAUAGUGGGUGUCUUGAGGCUGUGGGGAAUCCCAGAGGUGAUUAUGGAAGCUCAUGUCAACACUCAGAGACCUGUGAACUAGUUUCAGAAACCUCCUGUCCCAGAUCUGCUGGUGGAGGAGCAUAAAUCUCUGUGUUCAGAUUCUACUGGCUGGCUGGGACUCUUCGCCACACUACGCUACGCAUGCUCCUUGAUUCAGGAAGUAGAGCACUGUUGGAUUAAGUUGUAGCAAUAUGGAGGGACUUCCUGAGCCACAUGGCUCAUGGACUAGUGGAGUGGAUGCUGCUGAGACACAUGAUCCCCUGUAACUCUUAGUGAUGCAGAGGAAGGCUAAUCCUAAGAAGCAGAGGACUCACUGCUCAGCAGAAAGGUGGAGCUCAUUCUUCUGUGGCAUCCCCUAACUCAUGAGCCACCCCUAAAAAGCUGUAUAUUCUCACUGGUCCCACUUUUCAUGGUGUAUCUGUGAUAUUUCUGCAUUAUAUGUGGGUACAGGAGGACAUGCUAUUCACUUAACCUAAAAGCAAUAACAUAUGCCAUGAGUUAUAUAGAAGACCAGACUUGGAGAUAACUGGUGAGUGGGAAAUCAUUUUCCAAAUCGCCUGAUGCUGGUUUAGUGAGAUUGGAAAUCUGUGAUGUGUUCAUAAGGACCCACUUCUGCCACUGAACCCCUUCUCUGGACACCAGCUUCUGAAUCUUCAAAGCUGGGUUUUAUUUUUUCCUUCCUCAUUUCUUGCCUUGGCAUUGAGCUUGGAAGCUAACAGUGGACAAGGUUCUGAUGAAGUGGAGUUGAGGGAAUUUAAAAUGAGAAGCCUCAAAGGACAGCAGUAAUUAAUUAAUUAAGCUAUAAUUAGCUGGGUUUCAUUUUACAUAGCAAUGCUCCCAAACACUCCAAUGUCCUAUAACAUAAUUCACUGUAAUUGCCCUUCUUGGCAUUAACCCCGAACAGCCCUGGGACAUCAGCAGGCAGCACAGCUAACCACUGCCUGUCAUUAUCCUAGCCUUCACAUGGUGUUCCUGGGCUAGUAUGGAGGAGGAGAGACAAAGGCAACCUGGAGGGUGGGUGCAGAGCCCACUUUAGCUGAUCAAGAACCUUCCGAAAGAUCUCCUGAGUGCCACUUUCCUGACUCAUCAGAGUUGAACCUGUGGGUACUUACUAUGGACCAGGGCCUGCACUUCCCUUGUCCUCUAUGGUCAACUGGGAACCUAGAGCAUGCCCAUAGGAGGUGGAUGGUGAUGUUGGUGGGCAGUCAGUAACUAUUAAUGGAUGACCAACUGUGUAAGUGCUGAAAUAUCACCUUCAAAAGCCGUGCAUGGUUUAGCCCUUAGUAACUGAUCUUUGUUUGUUCAGGGGUGAAAACACGGAGUAGUGGCCUGCCCAUCUCUACAGCUGAACUCUGGCCCUGUACUGAAGGUUCUGAGCAUAGGGAGCCAAAGCACUCAUACCCCAAGUCUCCAUGUCUGCGGAUCAGGCUUACUCCUUCCUUCUCCUAGUCUGCCUUAGAAGAUCCUGCUUUCUCUUUUGUUGUUGUUGCUCAGUUGUUGAGUAUUUUUUCUUCCAACAAACACCAGGGGUGUGACAUGAGGACAGUGUGGUAGAGACAGCCAAAGCAUCAGGUAGGUAAGGUCAUGCUGUACUUCCUUCACAACUGCCUUUCCCAGGAUCAGAGUUUCUGGAGUCCCAAAGCCAUGGGAACAGUUGUCAUUUACCUACCCCAUGACCUCAGGAAGGGGAUUCCGCACCAACCCUUCAUCUCGGAAAGUGGAUAACUGUGGUUACCAGCCUUCUUCUUGACCCUUUGGGAGGGGACAAACCGGAAGAAAUGCCUGCCUCCUGGCUAACAGCAUAAAGUCCUAUGACAGGUUAAUUGUUAGGUAUGAAGGUAGGAGUGCUCAGCCUGUCUGCAGAUGAUGGAGACAAGACUAUGUGCAAGUGUGUGCUUCAUAAACAGACCGGCCCAGCUCAGUGGAUUCUUCAUGCUACUCCUGGCUACUCUUUUGGGGAAGGAGAAGGAGGAGACAAGGACAAGGGACAGAUGUAACCAGUGCCUUUAGGCAACAGAGACACAGUGGGGGUGGGGAGACUGGCUGGAACGAAGAGUGCCCCGAAUAACUAGAUUUGUCUAUACUCAGAUCUACACAGGAAACUCCCGUGGCAAAGGUGAGUAUUUAGAAAGCACCCCAAGAAGUUAGUCUCAGGGUAUCCCAUGAGUGUGAAAACACUGCUUGCUUGUAUGUGAACUAGCCACCUACCUCUUGCAGCUUUCCUGAGACCCAGCCUGACCUGCUGCUCUCUGUACCAGAAUAGGCCUCAGCCCUCAUAGUCUAGAAGUUUGUGCUGUGUCUGUCAUCUGUUGCUAAGAAACACGACAACUCCAACCUCUGUGACCAUAAGCAAGGCUACUCACUUAUGUCCCACAGUUCUUGUGGUCAGAGGUCUAGAGGAACUGGCUUGUCAGUCUGACUUGGAUUCUGUUGUGGUCAUCUCCUGUCUGCUUCUUGGGCUGGAAAGACUGGGAAUCUGUUCCCACCCCUGUGGAGCUCUCCUCGAACUGAAUAUUCACUCUUCCUUAGGAUGCCGUACUCAGUACCUGCCCUCAGUGGCUUCUGGCAACCUCUUCCUGGUCUUUCCUCAGGGUCCUGCUCACCACCAGGUACGUGGAAUCAUCUUCCAGAUAGACAACUUGUUCUUCCUCACUGUAGCUCAGAAUCUUUGCCUCUAGAAGGUUCAAAUCAUAGGCUACCCCCUUCCAGAUAGACAACUUGUUCUUCCUCACUGUAGCUCAGAAUCUUUGCCUCUAGAAGGUUCAAACCAUAGGCUACCCCCUUACCCCUAAAGCCACUGGGAAACCACCACAUGGUCCCUGGGAGAAGGUAACUAAUACUACCACAGAGGCACAUGCAGAAUGUCUACCUGGGGGCUCCUCUAGCCAGAAUGGAAUCUGAUCUCAACCAGCCUUUGGAGUGUAACCAAAUUCAGGUUCCUGGGCUUAAGAGGCUGCACCUCUGGAGGGUCACAACAGGGGGCUUUCUUUUGGUUUUUCCUCUGCCACUUUGGAACCCAGAACUUUGAAAGUCACCAGACUGAACAAGAGGGAGGUGACAGUGUGUAGUAAGACUUAAUAUCCGCCUUCCAUUUGAAUACACCUUCCUAGCCACAAAGACAUGAUUCACAGUCCCGAGAAGCCCUGUUAGCCUAUGCUUAUUGUAGUGAGAACACUGCUGCCUUCUUUCCUCGGCAGAGUAAGAACAAGCUCCCUUGUGCCUGGGUAUUUCUUUCCCUGCCCUUUAGCCAACAUGUUGUGAGUAAUGUCUGUCAUAAAACAGAAAGUGCAGGAGUCUCACAAGCUUGGAGUAGCAAUGGCUUGGUGUGCACCUUUGCAUGCCAGAGGAGGAGGGCACAGGGAGGGGCCUUAGUGUGGCCAGCAGCCAUGGCUUCUCUACUCUUGAACCCUGUACAGGUGGAUUUCAGCCCACAGAUAAAGUCACAGGAAAAGAGAACCUUAGAAACUGGGUUGGUAAGAUGGCUUAGUUUGUAAAGGAAAGGGCUUACUGUGUUAACCCCUAGUUGGCUGUGGCAGUGUGUGCCUGGAAACUUAGUGCUGGAGAGGCAGAGACCAGAGGAACCCUGGGGUUUGUUGGCUAACCUGUUGAGCCAAAUUGGUAAGCUCUAGUUUCAGUGAAAGACUGUCUCAAAAACAAAAUGGAAAGUGAUUGUGGAAGACGUCUGAUGCUGCUCUCUGCCGCUACAAGCUUCUGCACACAUGUGCCCAUACACAUCAACACAUGCACACACACACAUACACACACACACACACACACACACACACACACACACACACACACACACACACAGAGAGAGAGAGAGAGAGAGAGAGAGAGAGAGAGAGAGAGAGAGAGAGAGAGAGAGAGAGAACAUGCUCUGAGAGAAAAGCAAGUAUAAUGCAGGCCCAUAUGCAAGCCCAGGGUUUUAGACAUAGCUGAAAAGGGAGAAACCACCUAAACUAUGAGGGGCUGGGCAUGCAGAGAGCACUGUGUACACUCUGAUUCCUGAGAUAAGGAGCUCUCUUCUUUUGUCUUUCUGUAAAGAUACAAGGAAGAUCUGAUCUUAAAAUCAGAGAGCAAAAGCAGCCAUUAAGACUCAAGGAAGCAGUUCACCUUCAUGAAUGAAAAGCAGUUUCAGCUGAGACAAAUAAGGCUGAGAUGGAGCUCAGUGUAGCGCGCUUGCCUGGAAUGCCUGGCUCCCUGGCUCCCAUCCCCUACACCACAACAAAUAGAUGAAAUAAAGAAGUAUAUAAAGAAAUGAACGGAUAAAUAAAAUCUUAAACUGAGAAUAUAAAACCGCUAAAAAAUGGAGAACUCUUGGUGAGGACAACUGUGCAUUGGCUAAAAUUGCCACUACCCGUUCAUGUCUCUUUAGCUAGACUUGUGGCCACCCAACAACUGGAUCAAAGGAACACACUGUGUUCCUGUGAAAGAACUCAAGGCUUUCUGACAUGUGAUGGUCACUUUGCUCUGAUUGUCGAGGUAAGACAUGCCAAGUUUGCAGAGAAGUGGUUAUUUCUUCUUCUUGGGUGGUCGUUUUAAUGGCUCUGUCUGGCUGAUAGGAGAGCUCAUCCAUGGACAAGGGCUAGGAGAUGGUUCAAUCUAAAAUAAGCAUUGCUUUCUAUGGGGAAGCAGGGUGGUUCUGCCAGGAUUCCUGCAGAGUCUACUAGUUGGCCCAGACAUUUCCAGACCUGGAGAUCUGUAAGGUUGACCCCAUCUAGCUUUCUAAUAUCUCCUCUUUGUGCUGAAGAUCCUGGUCCCUGAGUUACCCAACUGACUUUUCUUAACAUAGUUUCACAGGCUGGAAUAUUCUCCUUUCUUCUCCUGGUCCCCCAUACUUGGACACAGUGAAAUAACUUCAGGAUGAAGGAAAUUCUAUGGAGUCAAGGAAGGGAUCUCGAUAUCUGCAGAAACUCACGGUUCCAGCAUCUCCACAUCACAAGUGUCCACAGACCUGUGCUCAGAUUUGAAGUUUCACAGGAGAUUCACUGACAUCCAGGGACCCUGGUUCUCAGCAACACCAUGCCUCUCCUUGAGGACACCCAGUCUCCUGCUGUGAUGAGACUAUGUUCUCUGAAGUACCUGGACUCUGGUCUUUCGGUGCGCCAGUGACCGACCCUGUGCUGAGGAUUCUCUAGCUCUAGAUUGAAAUCUUGACAAGCAGUUCUCAAAGUGUCCAUUUCCUUCUGCUGGAAACCGCUUAGUUUGAGGUUUUGAAAAAAAAAAAAAAGCACAAUUUUCUCUGAAAGAGUGCCCUGCGGCUCUGCUCUUCCUGUAGUUACUAUCCUAAAGGGAAGGAGGCAUUCAGGCCAGAUACUUCCAUGUUCCGCAUCAUCUACCCAGCCAGGCUGCUGGUUGCUCAUGGAGAGUCCUGGGUCACGCAUAGCAUGAGGGCCUUGGCAGCAAAUGCUGGACCCCACCUCCUCGAGUCUGGGACAGGCUCCUGCAGUCUUUAUAGCCACUUCUCUGAAAAUUACUAACACUGUGGGCACCUUGACUGCCUGUGUUUCCUCUGGUAUGAGUACCUGGCUGCCUUACAUGUCUUUGCAUUCUCAAGGUCAUUUCCAUGAUUUACUGCCAGCUAACAUCCACUGUGCCAGGAAAAGACACUGAGCGCUGUACUGGCAGUGGGAGGAGCACAGCGGGGCCAUGAUGAGCCCCCAGGAGGGGAUGGCCCUUAGACCAAACAGCUCAUUCCAACAUUAGCUGCCAUAUACACAAAGUUUAAGAGGAAUGAGGGACAGAUGGAAAGUCUGAAUAAGGAUGUUUAGCCACUUACCACUGGUUAGAUCUGGAAAUCAGGCACUUAUCUCCAUGCUCACUCCAUCUCCAAUUGUGGUCUAACAGGGAAACUUCCUGCAUUCUUGAGUACUGUUAGACCUUAACAUGCCACAUUAAAGGCAGUUGGUAUAUCCUGAGUAGAGCAAGCUCACUAACAGGCUCUGAGACAGUUUGUGGGUAUACACUGGUUUUGGAGCCCAACUCUGGCCUGGAAGACAGAGGCCACAGGGAGAGAAAAGCCUCAGCUGACACUUUCUGAGAUAGGACAGUGCUUUGGAUACAGGACAGCAGAUCUCACAUUCCCUGAACAGGCUCAUGAGGGCAGCCUGCCUCACAGCACACCACCCCCCUCCCACCAGGCAUGCUGACUCUGAUUUGUAGGUUCAUCUGCACAGGUCCAGGGCCAGCAUGUGGAAGCAUAAAGAACAUAUAACAACCACCCCCCAAAAGGAAGUCUAGCUGAGUGCACCCCAGGGUUUGGUGGCUUCUAUAGUUCAUGAAGAAGGUCCUGAUAACAGCAGCUCAUCAAUCUUGUGAUAGGGAGGCCAUGAGCCCAUGGCCUCCACUGCCACUAGGUGCUCACAGUUGUGUUCUGUGUACAUUGAGAUCCUGAACGUUUGACCUGGGUGCCAAGAUGUUCAGAUAUCUCCCUAGAGCACCUCUGUCCCUAGCUGUAUGUAGUAUCCAGACUGUACACUGUGGAGGGUCUGUUGCGUCCCUUUGUGAUGUGUGCUGGCUGAGAUCUGUGGUCAAGCAUGCUUGACCAGCGCCACCAGUGGGAGUUGUACCACAGACCACUGGCCUGGGCAAAAACCCGAAUUCAAAAUUUGCAGUAUUUUUCUCCUAUUCUUUUGUUCUCUGGCGCAGACCCGUACCUCAUGAAAAAUCCGACACCCCACCUCCUCAACAAGGUAGCCUUAGCGCUAUGUAGGUUAGGGUAGCUUCAAAACUCAGACAUCCACCUGCCUCUGACUCCUGAGUGCUGGGAUUAAAGGUGAGAGCCACUUCCUGCUACUCUCUCCAGUCCUGCAGGUCUUAUUUCCUGGCCUCCAGCCUCCACUCAGGAAGACAUAACCUUACAAUAUGUGCUCCUGAAGUUGCCUAGAAAGCCAUGCUUGUGAUUGUGUGUACCUGUAAAUCGCCAUAUUCUAUCUAUUUGAUCAUUUAACAGUUUAGCCAGAUAUAUAAUUCAUGUGGGAACUUUUUUUCCCUAAAAUUUUUACAACCUCUUCUCAUGCAUUUCUCAUUUCCAGUACUCACCAGGCCAGCAUCAGCAGCACUCAGUAUACUUCUGUGGACCUUCCCUUCUCUCUAGGAAUGUUUGAGGGCACCCUUCUUCCUGGUAUUCUAAAACACUAAAGUGAAAGUCCUUCCUGUUCAAUUGCUGAACUAACCUUCCCCUAUCUCUUUUGUGUGUGCGCAUGUACUAUGGUCCACUGCUUGCCCUUGGCUAGGAGAGUUAUCCUUAGCGCUCCUUCAAGCCUUUUAUGGGAUUUCACUCUGAGUGGCACCCUGCUGUAUUUCCAAGGACUCUUCUUCUUCUCUCACGGCUGCAUUUUCACUUCCUUGUUUUGCUUCAGAAAAAUAAUUCCACCUUUUAGCUCCCUGAACAUACUAAUUGUACAAUUAAAAGUGUUCUUUUCCCUGAAUGUGCCUAUAUCCCAGCCCCUUUCUAAAGGCCCCUCCACUUGUUCAGGUCUCAUCUGGGGCUUGGGUGUGGUGGGGAAAGGCUUUCUCAGGGGUCAGAGCAAUUGUUGGAUGGUAUUUAACACUUAAGUGCAUCAUCACAAGGCUGACUGGUCCAUGGGGCUGAUGUCCAUGGGGUUUUCCUGGGAGCCUGUCAGAUUCCACUGUCUGCACUGAACCCUCUCUGGUCUGCUCACAGCUUUUGUGUGAUAUGUCCCCAUCUUUGUUUCCAAUGUCUCCAUCUCCUUUUUCCUUUUCUUCUGACUGUAUUUUUAAAAGCAUUUUUGGGACAGAAUUGAGAUAGUGGGGAUGCUUUAGCUGCAUAUGUCACUGAAAAUAUAUCCGUUUAUUCUAAAUGUCACUCCAGUCAGGCUGGGUUCCCUGAGUGAUGCUGAGACAAGGAUUAAGUGCAGGGACAAUGUGAAGGUGGUCUCAGAGAAGGUCACUGAGAAUAUGGAGUCAGGAAAGGUAAGCUAAGAGUGGGAUAUGGCCAGACAGUGAGCAGGGGACGGUUGUGUAGGUCUUACUGAAGAUAUCUGGAGAAUAUUUUGAAAACAUUUCCUGAAGGCAAACCUCUAGGAUGUCCAGUUCAAUUCCCUCCACCAGUGCUGAGGACAAGCAUCUUCCUGAGCUCACUCCCCCAUACUUCUGCCCUCCCCAGCCAAUGACUAGUCACUCUGCUAUGAGCUUUCUAGUAGUCACAGGUCCUUGGCAAGGAGAACUUUGAGUGUCAAGGUAUGUGGAGGUCACACUGACACCAUUUGCUGUGUCCAAAAAAAUUGCUUCAUGUUGCUUCCAUGAUGUCCCAUAUCCUGUCUGCUGACAGAUGGGCUGCAUUGGGUCACUCUGGAUUUCUCAGGGAAGUGCUAGCUUCAGCCAGGCCUGAUAUGACUCACAAAAGUCCUCUUGAUUGAUGUGGUGGUACAUUCCUAUAAUCCCAGCUCAUGAGACUGGGGUAGAGGGAUCAGAUCAGGAGUUUGACACUAUCCAGAGCUAUAUAAUGAAUCUCUGUUAAAAAAAAAAAAGACUGAGCUUACUGUAGUUAGAGGCAACAAUGACCUAGGUGAGGGCUGGGCAGGUCCAAGGGUGUGAUGCAGUCAGAAAGUUCUCCUGAUGCACCUCGGUUUUGUAGACAUCUAUGGUGAUGGGAAGGGUCACAGCUAGGAGGCAGAGCAGUGCAGAGUGUAGUAAAGCGACCUAGGAUAAGGGUGACCCUGGAAUUGAAAACUGAAAAUGUAAGAGGGGUCAAGGGAAAUUGAUCGGUGUCACUUUGAUCUUACCGUUCAUCUUACUUAGAGAAGCCUUCACUCAUUAAUCCCUCUCCCUUCUCGGACUCUGCCUGGUUUCCUAGUCAAUCACCUGCUUCUGGAAUGCCAUGCAAGGACUGGGUUACCUGCUCACAUUUCAUUCCCCUCUGAGGACUUCCCUGUGGGUAGAGGAGACUGACUGUCCUAAUUAUCCGUUGCUGGGUAACAAGUGACUCCAGAAUUAGUGGUGUGUAACACAACCAUUUGACGAUAAAGUAUUAUUUUAGAAUCAGGAAUUCGGGUCAGAUCACAUUGACAUUAAAUGGGGUUGCUUGAUCUCUAACUUGUGCUUGUCCUCCUCUGAAGGGUCCAAGAUGGCUUCAUUCAUACUUAGCAUCUUUCCCUCUCCACCAUCAUGGCCAUUGAUAGCGACAAUUCCUGAGUGGCACCCCAGGACCCCAAAUGGGAGCCAAGAAAGAGGGAACUCCACAGAAGACUCAGCGGAGCCCUGAUGUUGUGUCCUUUUGGUUACAGAAAUCAUGGGUAAUGUGCAUCCAGGAGAUAGGUCUGUGGGCUGUGGCUGUUUCCAAUGCUUUGAGGGGAGAGAAGAUAAAGUGUUUGGCAAGAAGAGAGCCCGUGCAUAAAACCAGAAAUUCAAAAACAGUGUCCUCUCUCUGCAAGGGUGCUGGAAACUCCUCUAUGCUGGAACAUGAAAAAACAGGAGCAUCAUAGUCUUCCAGGUAGGACACAAGGACCAAGAUGGCUGCCUGUAACCUAGAAAAGAGUCCUGAGCGGAACCUGCUGGCACCUGACCUCAAGUUCCCACCCUCCAGAGCCCCAGCAGAAGGAUAUCUGUUGCCUACUCUACACAGUUUACAUUCUCUUGCUGAAGUUGUCCCAUUUGGCCAGGCAACUGCUCACUUUGUCCUCCACCUCCCACAAACGAUCCCUGUAUGUACCUAAUUACUAGUGCAAAAUGUAUGUCCUGGGAUUUUUCAUUCCAAGUGAAAAAGUCACUUCCUCUUUUGAGCCAGAUCCUAGCCUGACUGUCUGUCUCCACUGGGACUGUCUUUGAAAUGCCUUUGAGCAUUUUCUGCUCCUUCCAGUUCUUUGAGAGACUUCACCCUUUAGUGGAAAAUGUCUCAACUUCCUAACCAAUGUGCACUUGUUACUCUUCCCGUUGUUGUUACCAAAUACCAGACAAGAAGCAACUCCAGAGGGGAAGGAUGUAUUCUGGAUUGAGGAGGAGGAUGAGGAGGAUACAGUUCACCAUGACAGUGAAAUCUGGGUGGUGUUUAUGGCAGUGGGACUCACAUCUUGGAAGAUAAAGAAACAGACAGGCUAGCCCAAAAGUGUGUCUGAGUUAUAACCCGUAAGACCUCCUUCCUUCAACUCACUUCCUCUAGUAGGCCCCAACGGUUUCACAAUCUCCCCAAACAGUACCACCAGCCAGGGAUCAAGUGUUCAAACACAUGAGCCUGUAGAAGCUAUUUUACACUUAACCCAUAGCAAGGUGAUGGUUCUGGCUGGUUUUAUGUCAACUAGAAACAAGCUGGUCAUUUGGGAAGAGGAACCUCAAUUGCAAAAAUUCCCCCGCCAUAUGGGCCUGUGGGCAUUUUCUUUAAUGAUCAUUGGUGUAUUGUGGAUGACUCAUGUAUAUUCAAUGAUAUAGCCCAUUGUGGAUGGUACCAUUCCUGGGCUGGUAGUCCUGGACGCUAUAAGAAAGCAGGCUGAGGAAGCCAGUAGGCAGCACUCCUCCAUGGCUUCUGCAUCAGUUUCUGCCUCCAGGUUCCUGCUCUGCUUGAGUUCCUUCCCUGAUUUCCUUCAGUGCUGGACUGUGAUGUAUAACUAUAAACUGAAAUAAAUCCUUUCCUCUCCAAAUUGCUUUUGGUCAUGGUGUUUUACCACAGAAAUAGAAACGCUAAAGGAAGACAGUGCCUAUGGACAUACCUGUGCUGAUUGGAAAUAUUUACCAUCAUGCUUCCUGUUGAAAGUGUUUGACUCACAAACAAUGUCCCUGUAGCAUUGCCUUGCCUAUCCUAAUCAAAAGGAGCCUUACUUACGAGGCAAGAUUUGAUGGGACAUAUAUACACAACAGACAUGAUUCUGCAGUGUGCUCUAUGGUUCUGCUCAGGUGAAUGGAUGCUGAGACAUGCUGAGAGAACUGCCAUUUGCUCUGCCUGUGUGCACAGCACUCCUCCUCUGUGUAGUCCCCUGGGCUCCCUGAUUGGAAGCAGAAUGCAAAAUUACAAGUAUGUCUACAUCGACUUCUUUAUUAGAGCUUCUAAUGAAGUGCCAAUUCUCAGACACAAGCUAACAAGAAGCUCCUUGUUUGGAAUAAAUUCAAAGGCAAAGAUAGGACAUUUACUUUUUUACCAGACUCGAAAGAAUAAGAUACAAAGGAAGUUAGCGUCCCCUGUCCCUUUGGAGGUUACUGUAUAUGGCUCAAUGUGAACACAUUGUCAUCUGCCUGUAGACCUGUUGGUGUCUGAUAGGCAUGCAUGGCUUGUUAGAAAUGUUUGUGGGUUCCAAGUGAGGUGCUGUAUUGGAAAGGGAAGGUCUCUCCCCGGAUAUUGCCUUUUGGGAGAGGAGUAGCUCAGAUGUAGAUAUGAAAAUUUCUUGAGACAGAGCUUGCAUCUGCCUCCUUCUCUCUACCCCAAGUAGAAGUAGUUCCAUGAGGGAUGAGGUUAUGUGUUAGUACCCCAGGUAAAGUGUGAACUUAAGUUACAUCCUGGUUAGUGGGUAUCUCAAUUUAUGCCAGAAAUUUCUGGAGCGAGGCAGCAUGGGGAACCCUUACUCCAAACCUCCAAAGUAGAAGGGGAGAGCCCACAUCUGAAGGUUUAGUAUCUGGGGUCUGUUGGGAUGCUGCUCCCUGAGAAUCUGCUGAGCACUUUCCACCUUGUGAAUAAAGCAUAGAUGAAACAGUGGUCAUAUGGAGUAGUUGUGUGAGGUUCUUUUUGGUCCAGCCUCUGCCAUUUGACAGUGACACCAGUGUUGCCUUGUGGGCCAGAAGGACAGAAGAAUCAGAGGGCUGAGUCUCCUAGAGAGCCCACAGUGGAGACUCCCCAAUCCUAUCAUGUAUGGAAGAAGGCGUUCCCCACCAUCAGUUCCAUCUAUGCUAGCUCCAUCUCCCCCGCCCUCAUCUGUAGCAUGGACUGGUUACUUCAGUGGGAACUGUAGCCAUGGGAACAGACACUGCUGAUUCAGUUGUGAGUGCCCUGACUGGAAGCAUUAGGUGCUCAGCAAUGGCUGGGAAGCCAGUUAGUUUGGUCUGCUCAUCUUGUGUUUUGGUUAAGUAGUCUGCCAUUCCUAUUUGGAUGAUCUGUAUCUAAGAGGUUCAGAUGCUUUCAAUGGAAAAAUAAUAUGAUAAAUAUAAUUAACAAGGGCGUUUUCCCUGGAAAUGAGGCAAAAUCUUUAAAGACACUUUGUUUGGUGUCUUCAUCCUAACAGGAGGCUCAGUUCACAGGCCAGAAUAGCAGUGAUGAGGGUUAUGGCCACAGUCUGAUCCUGAAGGCAAAGCAGGCAGUUUUAAUUUUCCAAUAGUUCCUUCCCCAAGUGUCUGCAAGCAUUUUGGGAGCCCAAGAGCUUUUCUCCCUAACUGUCCAGAUUUCAAGUUCACUGCUUACCACUAGAGUGGCUUUCAGCAAGAUUCUUUCCCUCCCUGAGCUUUGGUCUUCUCCUCUGUCAGUUGGAGGUAAUGAGUCACUACAUCAUGGGGUCUCUGGGAACAUGAGAAUUUGGACAUAAGCAAUUUUUGAACAGUAACUAUAGUGUAGUUGUGAGGGAUCUGGUGAUCAGUCACUCUGCAGCUAAGUAUGCCAGGGGCUAAGGCAAUAGUCAGGGGAUGUUCAUGAUGCUGUGGACCAGAGUCUGGGAAGGGCUCAGCAGAGGGUUCUCAAUAGUGUUCACAAGGAAAAUGGACUGGACGUCCAAUUUGGAAUUUUUUUUAGACAUCUAUGGCCUGAGCUGAGAUGGCUCGAGGGCCUAGUACCAGUAGCCUCUCCAUAGAGUAGCUUGCUUUCAAUGUGGUGGUCCCACAGGGGCUAAUUCUUUGCACAGCAUCUUGGGUCUCUAAAAUAAUAUCUGCAUCUCUGCAGAUGAGGAAGAUGCAGGGCCUCAGUGACCCUGGCCUUAGAAUUCACACAGCACUACCUUCCUGCAUUCUCUCAGUGACACACUGGGUGCUAAGUGAACCCAUGAGAACUGGGCUCCUCCCAGGAUAGGGCAGGGGCAAGGUUGCCCUGAAGAAGAGAGAGUGAAAUGGAAUGUCAUUGUAGCGAUGUUUGGAAAACACAGAUUGCCACAGUGAGUAAAAAGUCAUUUUAAAUUACAUUCAUCUUAGAAUCUUUAUGUGCUGCAGAGGGCUGAGGAUGAAUAAUAGCCUUGCUUAAGGGAUGAACACAUGGAGGUUUGGUAAAGAAGAUUAAUUUGCUAAAAAUCAUACACUUAAAUGAAAAUGUGUUCAGAAUCUGAAGUGUCCUGAAUCCAGGACCAGCUGCUGAUUUCCCCACAUCCCUGUGGGCAAUGAAAUGUAGCUAGUUUGCAGGACUCUGCAUUCUUUUUGGGAGUAUAAACUCUAACUUUUACAUUUUGAAAUAUAUAAAGCCUCACAAGUUAAUUACCACUCAGUGUUCUUUUAUUUUUGUCAGUGCUCAGGAUGGAACCAAGGAUCUUGUGUUUGAUGACUUAUCCACUUUUCUGUUGUGAAACUCAGACAGCAGUUACAGGGCAAAAGGGAAAAGCCAAUAGCACAUGAUUAUUUUGAAGAUCACAUCUUAAAGACACUAUAUUGAGGCUGGGCAGCGGUGGCGCACACCUAUAAUCCCAGCACUCGGGAGGCAGAGCCAGGCAGAUCUCUGUGAGUUCUGGUCUACAGAGCAAGAUCCAGGACAGGUACCAAAGCUACACAGAGAAACCCUGUCUUGAAAAACCAACCCCCGCCCCAAAUUGACUACAUUGAAGCUAUAUUACUUCUUGUUUGAAGCUGGCAUAUCUGAGAAACUGUCUUGUACAUACAUGUUAUCAUGGUGGGUACGCAGUGCUUGGCACAUAACUGUCGAUGCCCAGGGAACUUAAGCACAGAGUAUGUUACAAAUGCUUACAAAUAAAGUGAGUAGGAGGGCAGGGGACACCAGGAUGAAAUGCAGAUUAUGACAGGAGGUCUAACUGCCCCAUGUAGCAGGAAUCUUAGAAGUUCUUAUUAAUUAAAUCAAACCUAAGGCCAGAUAUUGGGGUGAAUGCUGGAAGAUCAGAGAGACAGAACAAGCUACAGCUACCUCACCUUACCAAUUCCUCAGCUGGUCCUGUUUCCUCAGACUGGAAGCCUCUGAGUCCUCAUCUAGAAUGAAUCUCAGUUGAACUGCUACUCGAAAGCCUGAAAGCUUAACCAGCCAAAUGCUUCUAGUUUCUGGUCUUCACGCCUUAUAUAUCCUGCUUUCUGCCAUCACUCCCUGGGAUUAAAGGCUCACUUCCUGGGAUUAAAGGCGUGUGUCACCAUGCCUGGCUGUUUCCAACGUGGCCUUGAACUGACAGAGAUCCAGAGGGAUUUCUACCUCUGGAAUGCUAGGAUUAAAGGUGUGAGUGCCACCAUUUUCUAGCCUUUGUAUCUAGUGGCUGUUCUGUCUCUGACCCCAGAUAAGUUUAUUAGGGUGCACAACAUUUUGGGGAACACAAUACCACCACAGCCUUACAAACUUAUGAAGCAGCAUCACUGAAGGGCUUGGUGGGAAUGUGUAUGAAACAUGAUCCUUAUUAGUCUUAAUCAAUAAAAACCUGGACUCAGAUAUCAGGGUGAAAACUGAAAGAUCAGAGAAGCAGAACAGCCAGCCAUCAGACUUCUACAAAAUCUCAGACUGAAUGGGUCGGCUUGUCUCUAUGAAUCCUCAGACUAAAUGGGGUAGAUCCUAUCUCCAUCCACCUUAUAUUCCUGUCUCCAGUUCCCUAGUGCUGGGAUCAAAGGUAUGGGCCACCACUGCCUGCAUCUAUUUCUCUUUUAGACUGGUUUAAUCUCAUGUAGCUCAGAGUGACCUUGAACUCCUGAUCUUCCUUUUCCCAAGUGCUGGGAUUAAAGGUGUGUGCCACCACUGCCUGGCCUCUAUAGAUAACUAGUGGCUAGCUCUGCCCUCUGAUCUCCAGACAAGCUUUAUUUGUGAGAACACAAACAAAAUAUCACACAACAGGUGUUGACCUAAGCAACUUUGGAAAUGAGGUGAGAUUGUGGACCAAGGGAGAAGGACCCGCACUUGGGUUUUGCAUUCUUUCCUGUGAAGCUAUUAGUCAACAAUUAUGAAGCUCUGGGUUAAUAUUGGAACAGAACAACUGAGUAAAUAACCAGUGAACAUCCAGAGACAGGUUUCUCAUUGCAGAAGCAGGAAGCUGCAGGGAAACAAGGGAAGACUCGUAUAAUGAGUUCUGGUAGUGUGUUAGAAUUGGGGGCAUCAUUGUGGAUGGACUCAAGUUUAGAUUAAUAUGGACACAGAUGAAUGUGCAUAUGUAAAUGUAUUCAAAAUAAGUGUAGAUGUAGAAACAGUUCUAUGUAUUUAAAGGUACAAAUACUGUCUAUUGGAAGGAGUCACAUGACUAAACAUGCACAUUUAUCUUCUAGUUUUGUCAGAGUGAGGGCUGAGCAUCAACAGUUAUUGUCUACAUCUUGGUUUCUUAUACCAUUAUCCAACCAAAGAAGCCAGGGUUCUAUGAGGAAAGAGCUGGUUCUAGAGCUAGAAAAGGGAAGAUGCAUGGCAGCAAUUCUACAGCUGUACAUUAUCGCACAUUUAUAGCACGAAUCUUAAAUUGUCUUAUUAAUAAGAACAAACCUGGAGCCAGGUAUUGGGGUGAACGCUGGAAGAUCAGAGAAGCAGAACAAGCCAUAGCAACCUCACUUUGGCAAUUCCUCAGUUGAUCCUGUUUCCUCAGACUGGAAGCCUCUGAGUCCUCAUCCAAAUGGAUCUCAGCUAAACUGCUGCUAAAAGCCUAAAAGCUUAACCAGGAUCUAGUUCCUCAUCCUCAUGCCUUAAAUACCUUUCUGCUUCCCAUCAUCACUUCCUGGGAUUAAAGGCUCUUGUUACCAUGCCUGGCUGUUUCCAGUGUGGCCUUGAACUCACAGAGAUCCAGAUGGAUCUCUGCCUCUGGAAUGCUAGGAUUAAGGGUGUGUAUGCCACCAUUUUCUGACUUCUAUAUCUAGUGGCUGUUCUGUUCUCUGACCCCAGAUAAGUUUAUUAGGGUGUACAAUAUUUUGGAGAACACAAUACCACCACACACAUGAAUACUAGGUGAACUGGAAUAGCAUCUUGUAGUGAAAAAAAUGAGCUCUUGAGAUGAAAGGCUAUCAGCUGGACACAGGGGCUAGUGUCAAGUGCUCUCAAUGGCCAAAGCUACAAAGCAACAUAAUUUUAGAUUAUAAGGCAAGAAUAAAUGAAUAUGCAAGGGUUCAUGUAAAUUGCUCCUUAAAUUUGUCCUGCUUUCCAUCAUGAAUUGCAGUGUCCAAAACUUCAAUGGAGAUAAGGAAGUUAAAAAGACUCCUGAGGCUGGGACUCUAGAGAGCUAUUAGGUCCUCAUCAAUGCCAACCCAAUACAUCAAUUUGUUCCUACAAGUAGGAGGAGGCCCUGGAUAUGGUGUCCCCGUCAUACAGGCCAGCAAGCUGAUGCAGAGAUGUACCAUGCCAUUUUGUGAGCCCGAAGACAAUAGAAUAAUCCUUAAAAUGCCAAGGCUCUGCCUCAGGUGAAACUGGGUGAGGGACACUGCCUUGGUCUCCUGAUUCUCAUGGGCUUCCAUCCACAACACAGGGACUACUGUGUCCCCAAGACAAUAACCAUCAUUGUAAGUGCCACUUGGAAAGCACCUAGUAGCCGUGGAUCUACAGGGCACAAGUCUCUGUUGGGGUUUGCAGUCCAUCCUAGCUAAUCCUGUCACUCACCCAGUCACAUUCUUCCUGGUUAUCUUUCCCUAGUCCAAAAUGGCACCUCUCCUGUUCAUGUUUCAGACAUUGCACAUUUCUGGACUGUGAUCCUGUGUACCGCCUCCAUGGUCCCUCCCUGAGAUGGCAUCUCCUUGCCUCCACUUACCACUCACACUGAUCAUUCUCCAAAGAUAACAGCUUCACUUAUUGCCCUGGAGGACAUGGCCACAGAGCUCUCUCCUGGCUGGACAAUAGUAUCUCAGCACAGACGUCAACAGACAGGGCCUCUGACACUCCUGGGCAGCCCCUUGUUACUUUAUAUUUCACAAUUGACACUGUACUCAUUCUGAAUUUGGAAGUGGAAACCACCAUGGGCUCAUGAUGAGAGUCACCAAGAGCCUUUUGUGUUGGAGUCCCAGACUCUGCUUGCUUACUUUGUUAUUCCUCUUGACAAUUGCUAGUUUCUAUUUCCUGAUUGUUUUCAGUUGCAACCACACCCACAGAUGCUCAUCUGAACAUACAUUUUAAAACACACAGAUUCUAUCUUGCACUUCUCAUGUGUCUGCAUGCCUGUCGGUUAGUACCCCUUUUUUUUGAAGAAUUCAACUUCAUACCUAUAGUAAACAGAUGUGGUGAUGACAUUGCUCCUGAAUUGAAGGGGUGGGUGUUACUCUACAGGCAGCUACCUGGCCAUCUUCUUGUGUUUGGGAUGGAGUUGCUCCACUGUCUCCUGGAUGCCCUUGCAUUGUAGCCCCAAGAGGGAAUUCCUUCUGUUUUCAUAUGAUUGGCCUAUUUCCCAUCCACUAUUCCCAGGAGAGAAUGAUGUGUGAUACAUAGGACAUUCUCAUGGAUGACUUGCUUCCUCUCUCAUGUUACUAGAGGAUAAAUGAGUUUGUGGUUCCCCUUUCAGAACAUAGGAGGUACCCUCCCAUUGACCACUCCCACCACUCUUAGCACUCGGCUGUACUCCAGGUGUCUGGCUUAGUCUUCUGGAGCUCAGUGUUGGCACUUUGGGUAUCCGUGGCAUAUUUUCUCCUGACUUUUCCCCUAGUCAUCUUUUCCCUUCCCCUUCAUUGCUGUUCCUUUACAUUGCUCUGAGACGGUUCUUCAACCAUGCACAGUCAUGGGGUCUCGGACUUUGGGACACAGUGGCAGGGAUGCUCUAUACUCACUCUUUUCUUGUUUAAAAUGAGGGGUGAACAGCAGCUAUUGUACUCAGGUGACCCAUUCACCUUCAUCUUUUAUAACUGCGUGUGGCAAUACAAUGUACUGGCUGGAAGGAACACUUCUUUGGACAUUUUAGCCUUGGCCAUGUACCAUCUGUUGCCUUGACAGAAGCAUUUAAGGAAAUCACAACAGUUUCCAAGGUUUUUUUUUUAUGAUUGCAUCCAUAGAGUCCUGACAGCAGGAAGGGGAGUGGUAGUUUGGAAGUAAGGAGGUCCAGAGGGAGCCAAAUGGUCUCUACCGCUGGCUCCUUUCAUUCCUGCUUUAGAGUCUGCCGCGGCCACUCCCGCCCCCAGGGUGGGUGUUGGCCUUUGCACAGUGCCUGCUGGCUGAGAACCUGCUCUGCUCUUUGUCUUGUUUCUGGAUGUCUGUCCUCUCUCUCCAUUUAAAUACUGAAUAUUAAUGACUUGGAAUGGGCCAUAUCCAGGGAUAUCAGCUCUUGGGAUAACUCCUCUGUGGCAGAAAUCUGAGGACCCUACACUGUGCUGGAAUUUCCUAGGUUAGCAAGAGGCUCCAUCAAGAGGAUCCUAUCUGUCUAGGUUCACAGCUUUUGACCUAGAAAAGUUGUUAGAGGGAAAGGAGGGGCAGACGAAUACGUGUUUCUUCUUGCCCAAGAGUUCUCCAAGAGAACAUUCAAGCAAUGACUGCUGUUAGGAGCAAAGGCCCAAGUGACACUGGAUAGCCUUCAGAGGCCUCCAUCACAGCUUUUAAUUUGUACCUGUGUCAGAGGGACAUCUAAGUAUACUUACACAGUUUUUAUAGGUUUCUGCCUACAAUGCAAAGUCACUUUCCAGAUAUGCAGCUGAAAGGAGAUAACUCCACAGACAUGGAAGUGCUCCAUUUCCAAAAGGAGAAAAGUAAACAUUUUCUCUUUGUGAGUUGACUAUCUCAGUCAUUUGUCUACACAGUGGAAGGCUGACUAACACAUGAGUUAACUGUGAAAUGUCAGAACACACAGCAGCUGUGGUUAUCUGCACAAGACCUGCACACAAGAUACACACACACACACACACACACACACACACACACACACACACACACACACAGAGGCAGAGGCAGAGGGCAAGAGAGGGAGGGGAUUAUCUGGGAAGAAGUGGUUUGCAGGUCUAAGAGGGAGAUAAAGACGGUAAUGGGGUGAAUUUGAGCACAAUACACUGUAUACAUGUAUGAAACUGUGUGCAUACUCAUGGAAGUAGCAAGAAGGGUGUUCAAGGUAAGUAGUACAGGUCACCUGUGGACCAAAUACCACACAUACAUUGAGCCAGUGGGACCCAGUCUCACACAGAGUGGGGAACAGACAGCAAAAUACAAAGCCUUUAUAGAUAACUGCAUCAGUUUGCCUGUGCAAAAGUAUAUGUUGUAUGAAUGCAAGGAAAAACAAAGUUUACUAUCAAGUUGGCCUCCUCCUCAAGAUGUAUUUCCAAGUUAGAGACUUAAAUAGUUACUACUUAAAAGAAGAAGAAGAAGAAGAAGAAGAAGAAGAAGAAGAAGAAGAAGAAGAAGAAGAAGAAGAAGAAGAAGAAGAAGAAAGGAAACUGGGAGAAAGCCCUGCCCAGCACAGGAUCUGCUUACUUUAUAUUCUAUUUGAAAAGAGAGGCAAUGUCCUUUGGU